GAUGAACGCUGGCGGCGUGCCUAAUACAUGCAAGUCGAGCGAAGCGGGGACGGGUGAGUAAAACGUGGAGAAGCUCCUAUAAGACUGGGGUGACUUCGGGAAACCGGAGCUAAACCGGAUAAUUAUCGAGGGAUCUGGGCUGCAUUAGCUAGUUGGUAGGGUAACGGCGUACAAAGGCAACGAUGCAUAGCCGACCUGAGAGGGUGAUCGGCAACACUGGAAAUGAGACACGGUCCAGACUCCUACGGGAGGCAGCAGUAGGGAAUCUUCCGCAAUGGGAGAAAGCAUGACGGAGCAACGCCGCGUGAGUGAUGAAGGUCUUCGGAUCGUAAAACUCUGUUAUUAGGGAAGCGGUACCUAAUCAGAAAGCCACGGCUAACUACGUGCCAGCAGCCGCGGUAAUAC
rnacentral:rRNA from 1 species